rnacentral:rRNA from 1 species
GUGUGCCUACGGGGGGCAGCAGUGAGGAAUAUUGGUCAAUGGACGAGAGUCUGAACCAGCCAAGUAGCGUGAAGGAUGACUGCCCUAUGGGUUGUAAACUUCUUUUAUAUGGGAAUAAAGUUUUCCACGUGUGGAAUUUUGUAUGUACCAUAUGAAUAAGGAUCGGCUAACUCCGUGCCAGCAGCCGCGGUAAUACGGAGGAUCCGAGCGUUAUCCGGAUUUAUUGGGUUUAAAGGGAGCGUAGGUGGAUUGUUAAGUCAGUUGUGAAAGUUUGCGGCUCAACCGUAAACUUGCAGUUGAAACUG